rnacentral:rRNA from 1 species
UUGAACGCUGGCGGCAUGCUUUACACAUGCAAGUCGAACGGUAACAGGGAGCUUGCUCCGCUGACGAGUGGCGAACGGGUGAGUAAUGCAUUGGAACGUGCCUAUUUGUGGGGGAUAACGUAGCGAAAGUUACGCUAAUACCGCAUACGCCCUGAGGGGGAAAGCGGGGGAUCGCAAGACCUCGCGCGAUAGGAGCGGCCGAUAUCGGAUUAGCUUGUUGGUGAGGUAAAGGCUCACCAAGGCGACGAUCCGUAGCUGGUCUGAGAGGACGACCAGCCACACUGGAACUGAGACACGGUCCAGACUCCUACGGGAGGCAGCAGUGGGGAAUUUUGGACAAUGGGGGCAACCCUGAUCCAGCCAUUCCGCGUGAGUGAAGAAGGCCUUCGGGUUGUAAAGCUCUUUCAGACGGAAAGAAAUCGGGCGCGUGAAUAGCGUGCCUGGAUGACGGUACUGUCAGAAGAAGCACCGGCUAACUACGU